UAGGGAAUCUUCGGCAAUGGACGAAAGUCUGACCGAGCAACGCCGCGGGAGUGAAGAAGGUUUUCGGAUCGUAAAACUCUGUUGUUAGAGAAGAACAAGGACGUUAGUAACUGAACGUCCCCUGACGGUAUCUAACCAGAAAGCCACGGCUAACUACGUGCCAGCAGCCGCGGUAAUACGUAGGUGGCAAGCGUUGUCCGGAUUUAUUGGGCGUAAAGCGAGCGCAGGCGGUUUCUUAAGUCUGGUGUGAAAGCCCCCGGCUCAACCGGGGAGGGUCAUUGGAAACUGGGAGACUUGAGUGCAGAAGAGGAGAGUGGAAUUCCAUGUGUAGCGGUGAAAUGCGUAGAUAUAUGGAGGAACACCAGUGGCGAAGGCGGCUCUCUGGUCUGUAACUGACGCUGAGGCUCGAAAGCGUGGGGAGCAAACAGG
rnacentral:rRNA from 1 species